rnacentral:lncRNA from 1 species
AGAUCCCUGUCCUUGAAGCUGCUUCCUCCCUAGAGUGACUUUCUGUCACUGUGCCUGUCUGGAGUGUAUUCCGGAAUUUCUUCAAUUCAGCCUCAAAUUCUUUGAAAUCAAUAUACUCUUGAACUGCUGGAUGAAGUUUCUUCUGUUCUACUACUAGAUCCCGGGAUAGGAGGUGAGGAUGAAGAAGAGAAAGCCUUUCCUUCUCCUCUUCUUUGAAGGGAUCCUAGUGACAUCAUGGGAAUACUUUAUAGAGAAGAUAUCUUGCAAAGAGAACUCUAAUAACAAGGAAUUAAAAAAAAACCAAAGAGGAAGAAGUGGGGGAAAUGAGCAAAACCAAGCAACACAUCAGAAAAGAAAUUUGGAGCUUUAUGGUCUCUGUGUCUCAGUAAUCCACAAAAGGGUAUUUUCUAGGGUCUGCUCAAAAGGAGAAAAAGAUUAAGAGUCGGAGAACUAGAACCUUGGUUCAAAUAUUGAUCAAUACUUUUGACCUAUGUGACCUUGAGCAGUCAGUCAUGUAAAGUACCUCCUAUGUGCCAGGCACUGUGUUCAACCCUAAUAAUACAAGGAAAGGCAGAAGACAAUUCCUGUCUUCAAGGAGCUCACAAUCUAGUUGAGGAGAUGAUAAGCAAAUAAAUAUAUACAAACAACCUUUCA